UUUUUUUUUUUUUUUUUUUUUUUUUUGAUUUUAAAACCCAGGAACAUAAUACUUCCACUAACCAGAAUCACUAUUAUUUCUUGCAGAGAUUUUUUUUCUUUAUUGGCAAAUUAAUGUUCAUUCAUGUCAGUGAUUCUUGCCAGAAUUGUUGAUAUUGCCUUUUAGCUUUUUCUUUUGACAUAAUUUCAGACAUAAUUUCAAACUGUAAGAACAGUACAAAGAAUUCUCAAAUAUAUUUCACUCAGAUUCUCCAAAUGAUAAUAUUUUAUCAAUUUGCUUUAUUUUCCUCUCCUCUUUAUCGCCAUAGCUUCCUUUUGAAAUCAUUUGCUAGUAAGUUGCAGCUGUGGUAUUUCUCUUAACCUCUUAAUACUUAGGUGGUAUUUCCUGAAACCAAGUUUAUUCUCUUAGCAACAGUACAGUGAUUAAAAUCAGGAAGUUAAUAUUGAUAAAAUCUAUAGGUCUUAAUUGGAUUUUACCUGAAAUUCUGAAUUGGUGUUGCACUUUUGUAAAAAGUGGUUUUGUUAAGAUAUAGUUGCGUGUAAAAUUGAUUUAUUAUAAAUGUACAGUUCACUUAUUUUUAGUAAAUGUUCAGAGUUGUUCAACCAUUACCCUGAGGGGAUCCCUCUUUUCUGUUUGCAAGUCACUCCCUGUUCCCAACCCCAACUCUAGACUACCACUAAUCUUUCCCUAUAGUUAGUAUUGCUUUUUUUUUUUUUUUUUUGGUCUUUUUAGGGCUACACCUGCGGUGAGGCUGCCAGGCUAGGGGUCAAAUCAGAGCUACAGCUGCUGGCCUACACGACCGUCACAGCAACACUGAAUCUGAGCCACAUCUGCGACCUAUACCACAGCCCCUGGCAACGUCAGAUCUUAAUCCACUAAGUCUGGCCAGGGAUUGAACCCGAAUCCUUGUGGUUCCUAGUCAGGUUCAUUAACUGCUAAGCCACAAUGGGAACUCGAGUAUUGCUUUCUUUUCUUUUUUUUUUUUUUUUUCCGGUCCCUUUUUUUUGCCUUUUCCUAGGUCUGCUCCCGUGGCAUAUGAAGGUUCCUAGGCUAAGGGUCUAAUUGGAGCUGUAGCCCCCAGCCUACACCACAGCAGUACGUGGCUCUCAGAUCUGGUGUGGUUGUAGCUGUGGCCAGAAGCUGCAGCUCCUGUUUGAUCCUUAGCCUGGGUACUUGGCCUUGGGUACAGCCCUAAAAGGGUGUGAGGGGGAUUUUAUCAGAGGUCACCAGGAAUGUUUGUUUUCUGAAUUUCCUUAGGAGGGGCUGAUCACCUUUGAAUAAGCAAGUUUUGAAAGUUCCAGAUAUAAGUGAAAUAUUGCAUAGAAAAAUUAGAAGUGAAUGAAAUGAGUGUAUUAGCAGAAACUAAAACAUAAUCUGGUUAAUUCUUAACAGAAUGAAUGAUAUAUUUGAAAACCGUGAAGAAUAGUUUAAACCCUUCCAAGAACAUGGAGAGAGGGUUUUUUAAAAAAAGUAGUAUUUAUAUUUAAUACUCAGGAAAAAGUGAUUCUAAAGAUGAAUUCAUGGCCCAAUCUUUGUAACCAUUGUGAGGCUAAGCACUGGGUCAUUGCUAGAAUAGUGUCUGGCACAUGGUAGCUUCUAAAUACAUUUAUUUUAAAAGGUUCUCAGAGUUUGUUUACUGAUUCAUUCAUUGAUUAUUUAUUCAACAGGUAUUAAUACCAACUGCCCUUCUAAGAAAGUGCUGAGAUAGAGUAUUAUAAUGAUAAUACAAGAGCUUCUGUAAGUAGGACAGUAGCCCUCUUUGUUUUAAAAGGAUAUAUACUCCUGUCCCCUUCCAUAUAGAAUAUUUGUUUUUUUGGGGGGGGCAAAAGAAUGUUAAAAUAAAAUUAUUAAAAUAUUCAAUACUUUUACAAUCUUAAAUUAGUUGCAUUUUUCUUUUUAAUUUAUGUUGAUACCUACUUAAUAUUUUAAGGCAUUUCCAGUACCUUAUUUGCUAAUGUAUGACAUCAUCCUAGGAAUUUACUUGUAAAGCUUUCUAAGUAUUUUAAGUAUAAUGUGUUUUUUUCAAUUUAAAUUUUAUAGAAUAUUAUAUAUUCUAACUCAAUGAAAAGAAUACUCUUAAGAAAGAAUAGCUGUGAGGGUGAAGGACAUGAUUUUUAAAGAAAUGUCUCAUAAA
rnacentral:lncRNA from 1 species